AUUGAACGCUGGCGGCAGGCCUAACACAUGCAAGUCGAGCGGGGUUUUCGGACCUAGCGGCGGACGGGUGAGUAAUGCGUAGGAAGCUGCCCGAUAGAGGGGGAUACCAGUUGGAAACGACUGUUAAUACCGCAUAAUGUCUACGGACCAAAGUGUGAGACCUUCGGGCCACAUGCUAUCGGAUGCGCCCACGUGGGAGUAGCUAGUUGGUGAGGAAAUGGCUCACCCAGGCGACGAUCAGUAGCUGGUUGGAGAGGAUGAUCAGCCACACUGGAACUGAGACACGGUCCAGACUCCUACGGGAGGCAGCAGUGGGGAAUAUUGGACAAUGGGCGCAAGCCUGAUCCAGCCAUGCCGCGUGUGUGAAGAAGGCCUUCGGGUUGUAAAGCACUUUCAGCGAGGAGGAAGGGGUUGUAGUUAAUAGCUGCAACCUUUGACGUUACUCGCAGAAGAAGCACCGGCUAACUCUGUGCCAGCCGCCGCCGUAAAAC
rnacentral:rRNA from 1 species